UAACUGUGUAAACCCUGGGUUUCUAUGCCAAUGUUUAACUGUCCGUCUUAUAUGAAUUUUUUUUAUAAUUAGUAUUUUAUUGUUGUUAGAUGAUAAAACAUGAUUAAUACUUUAUACGUGACUUAUCUUUUUAAUUUUUUUUAUAUUUUUUUAAAUAAGACGGAUGGUCAAAUGUUGGACACGGAAAUCAGGGUU
rfam:Oryza barthii chromosome 10, whole genome shotgun sequence.